rnacentral:misc_RNA from 1 species
GAUGAAGAACGUAGCGAAAUGCGAUAAGUAAUGUGAAUUGCAGAAUUCAGUGAAUCAUCGAAUCUUUGAACGCACAUUGCGCCCGCCAGUAUUCUGGCGGGCAUGCCUGUUCGAGCGUCAUUUCAACCCUCAGGCCCCGCCUGGCGUUGGGGAUCGGCGCGGCCCUCUCCGGGCUGCCGGCCCCGAAAACUAGUGGCGGUCUCGCUGUAGUCCUCCUCUGCGCAGUAGCAACGCUCGCACUGGAACUGGGCGCGGCCACGCCGUAAAACACCCCACUUCUGAAAGUUGACCUCGGAUCAGGUAGGAAUACCCGCUGAACUUAAGCAUAUCAAUAAGCGGAGGA